rnacentral:rRNA from 1 species
GACAGAGGUGCCGAGCGUUAGGCGGAAUCACUGGGCUUAAAGCGUGUGUAGGCGGGUCGUUAAGUGUCUUGUGAAAUCCCACCGCUCAACGGUGGAACUGCUGGGCAUACUGGCGAUCUUGAGCCACCUAGGGGCAGACGGAACAAGCGGUGGAGCGGUGAAAUGCGUAGAUAUCGCUUGGAACGCCGACGGUGUAAACAGUCUGCUGGGGGUGUGCUGACGCUGAGACACGAAAGCCAGGGGAGCGAACGGG